UUGCAGCCGUGGAUACUACCUGUCGAAGUCUUGCGGUUUUUGUCCAUCACCUCCUGUUUAUGAAUUUCAAUCGUAGAAAUUAGUAUAUGCUGACGAAGAUGCAAUAGAAAUUUUUUAAAGUAGGUACACAUUGGCAGAAUAUAGAAGUAAUAAAACAUAAUUAAAAAAACGACUUAUAAUCCAUUGAUAAAUAAUAUGUCAACCCUAACCAACCCUAACCAGAAGCUUUAUAAAGCACAUCGCAAAUUUAAAGUAGCAAAAAUUAUAAUUUUUUGUUUGCUUACAUCUUCUCUCUCCAAUUCAAUCAUCCAACUGCUCAUCUCAAAAUUGUUAAUACAUACUUCAAAUGUUCAAAGUAAUGUAACUUCCAUAAUUGUGGACAUAAGCUAAUUAGCAUUGAUUUCCAAGAUACACUUCCAAUGACCUAUCUAAACAGAAAAUUUCCGAACAGUCCUGAUGAAUAAUUUAAAGAACCUAGGAAGUCAGUAUUCACCUUGAGUUUUCUUGUAAGGUCCUCAUGACUUUGCAAUGCAGCAACUUUUGUCGUUGCUUCCAUGGCAUUGCUGAGUCUCUGAGUUACCUCUGCCUGCAAAAAUGAGGAAAGAUCAAUCUUGUUAUAUCUUAUGAAGUACUGUUUCAAGACUAUUGCAACCUAUAAGAUUACUAGGGAAUGCAAAAUAUGGAAGGUCAAUCGUUGAACAAAAUAACAGAUAAAAGAAUGUAAAACAUUGAAAGACACUGUCAUGAAAGACUGAAAAAACUUUAGAAUACAAUAACUAUCAGAUAUUAAGAGUCCAUAGCUUCAUUAGAUUGUUGAAAGGUUCUUGUCCAAGAAAAUGUUGAUAGGUUUAACGUCCUCCUUUUAAAAUGAAAUAGUCAACGUUUGUUCAUAUAUCAACAAUGAAAGUUCCCAUGUGGUAGUAUCUUAUCUUUAAUAAGCCACAGAGGCUUUCUGUUCAGAAUAAUUACACACUAUUUUCUCUGAUGUUUUCAAAUAGAUGGAACACAUGCACUGCUUUUAUCUUUAUCUUGCGCUAUUUCCUUAAUGGUUUCAACUAUGUAGUUGGAGCUUUAGUUCUCCAAUUUCUUUUUGAUAAGGAUUACAUCUCCAAUCUUUUCUACAUGUAAUCGAGGUUUUGGCAGAAACUUUUCAGUUAUUGAAACCUUUAGUAGCUUUUAGAGACGAAAGUCUCUUUGCAGCUGCUCAUGGUAUUAAACCACUUCAUCUUUCUUUAUCUCUCAAGCAUGAAACAGUGAGCUACGGCGAGAUCCAUUGAUUUCCUUAUGUCCCUCUUUCCCCAAAGCAUUUUCACGUGCACCUAGUCCACAACUUUUCCUGAUUCCACUUCUAUUCAAUUUGUACGAGUAAUAAUUGCACUAGUGUUGCUUCAAAACAUCUCACUCUGACAAACUUAAGGGUGAGGUUAGAAGAUUUAGAGCCGAGUGAUGUAUAUUAAGGUCAAUUUUAUUGGGAAAAUCUUAAAU
rnacentral:lncRNA from 1 species